GGUUAGGAGGAGCUAGGCUGCCAUCGGGCCGGUGCAGAUACGGGGUUGCUCUUUUGCUCAUAAGAGGGGCUUCGCUGGCAGUCUGAACGGCAAGCUUGAGUCAGGACCCUUAAUUAAGAUCCUCAAUUGGCUGGAGGGCAGAUCUCGCGAGUAGGGUACAAGGCACUAUGAAAUGAUCUAGUUUCGUGGGUGAGGGGCUGAAGGGCCUAUGAUGCACGGAGGCGGGGAAAGGAUUUAGAGAUAACAUGGUUUGAAAGGCGGGACCUGGUGCGGGGACGCUCUUGGGAGGAGUCUUCUCCCCAGCCUUAGCUGGUUUCAUGAUUUCUUUGCGUCUGUAGGCAACGCGGUAAAAAUAUUGCUUCGGUGGGUGACGCGGUACAGCUGCCCAAGGGCGUUCGUAACGGGAAUGCCGAAGCGUGGGAAAAAGGGAGCGGUGGCAGAAGACGGGGAUGAGCUCAGGACAGGUAAGGGAAUGAAAUCAGCCCUUCUUCCUAGAAGCUGCGGCGGGGGUGUUUGUCAUUCCCUUGAUGUACGGCAAGUAGGGGCCGACUCAUUUUUGCAGGGGUUUGUGAAGAAGUCGCAGGAACCGUAGGCUUUCGUUGGGUCUAUAGUUAACGCCGGAUCGCAGUUGGAAACCACCAGCUUUUUGUCAGUAUAUAUUACUCAUUUUAUAGAGCCAGAGGCCAAGAAGAGUAAGACGGCCGCAAAGAAAAAUGACAAAGAGGCAGCAGGAGAGGGCCCAGCCCUGUAUGAGGACCCCCCAGAUCAGAAAACCUCACCCAGUGGCAAACCUGCCACACUCAAGAUCUGCUCUUGGAAUGUGGAUGGGCUUCGAGCCUGGAUUAAGAAGAAAGGAUUAGAUUGGGUAAAGGAAGAAGCCCCAGAUAUACUGUGCCUUCAAGAGACCAAAUGUUCAGAGAACAAACUACCAGCUGAACUUCAGGAGCUGCCUGGACUCUCUCAUCAAUACUGGUCAGCUCCUUCGGACAAGGAAGGGUACAGUGGCGUGGGCCUGCUUUCCCGCCAGUGCCCACUCAAAGUUUCUUACGGCAUAGGCGAGGAGGAGCAUGAUCAGGAAGGCCGGGUGAUUGUGGCUGAAUUUGACUCGUUUGUGCUGGUAACAGCAUAUGUACCUAAUGCAGGCCGAGGUCUGGUACGACUGGAGUACCGGCAGCGCUGGGAUGAAGCCUUUCGCAAGUUCCUGAAGGGCCUGGCUUCCCGAAAGCCCCUUGUGCUGUGUGGAGACCUCAAUGUGGCACAUGAAGAAAUUGACCUUCGCAACCCCAAGGGGAACAAAAAGAAUGCUGGCUUCACGCCACAAGAGCGCCAAGGCUUCGGGGAAUUACUGCAGGCUGUGCCACUGGCUGACAGCUUUAGGCACCUCUACCCCAACACACCCUAUGCCUACACCUUUUGGACUUAUAUGAUGAAUGCUCGAUCCAAGAAUGUUGGUUGGCGCCUUGAUUACUUUUUGUUGUCCCACUCUCUGUUACCUGCAUUGUGUGACAGCAAGAUCCGUUCCAAGGCCCUCGGCAGUGAUCACUGUCCCAUCACCCUAUACCUAGCACUGUGACACCACCCCUAAAUCACUUUGAGCCUGGGAAAUAAGCCCCCUCAACUACCAUUCCUUCUUUAAACACUCUUCAGAGAAAUCUGCAUUCUAUUUCUCAUGUAUAAAACUAGGAAUCCUCCAACCAGGCUCCUGUGAUAGAAUUCUUUUAAGCCCAAGAUUUUUUAUUUGAGGGUUUUUUGUUUUUAAAAAAAAAUUGAACAAAGACUACUAAUGACUUUGUUUGAAUUAU
rnacentral:sRNA from 1 species